rnacentral:rRNA from 1 species
UACGUAGGGGGCGAGCGUUGUCCGGAUUUAUUGGGCGUAAAGCGCGGGCAGGCGGCCUGCUCAGUCGGCCGUGAAAGCGCCGGGCUCAACUCGGCGAGGUCGGGCGAUACUGGCAGGCUGGAGGCUGGUAGAGGGCGGUGGAAUUCCGGGUGUAGUGGUGGAAUGCGUAGAGCUCCGGAGGAACACCAGUGGCGAAGGCGGCCGCCUGGGCCAGUCCUGACGCUGAGCCGCGAAAGCGUGGGGAGCGAUCCGG